rnacentral:rRNA from 1 species
CCCCCACACUGGGACUGAGACACGGCCCAGACUCCUACGGGAGGCAGCAGUGAGGAAUCUUCCACAAUGGGCGAAAGCCUGAUGGAGCAACGCCGCGUGAGCGAAGAAGGUCUUCGGAUCGUAAAGCUCUGUUGUAAGGGAAGAACAAGUGCAGUAGUAACUGGCUGCACCUUGACGGUACCUUACUAGAAAGCCACGGCUAACUACGUGCCAGCAGCCGCGGUAAUUACUGGGCGUAAAGAGCGUGUAGGCGGUUGAU